rnacentral:rRNA from 1 species
GACGAACGCUGGCGGCGUGCUUAACACAUGCAAGUCGAACGGAAAGGCCCCGCUUUUGUGGGGUGCUCGAGUGGCGAACGGGUGAGUAACACGUGAGUAACCUUCCCUUGACUUUGGGAUAACUUCAGGAAACUGGGGCUAAUACCGGAUAGGAGCUCCUGCUGCAUGGUGGGGGUUGGAAAGUUUCGGCGGGUGGGGAUGGACUCGCGGCUUAUCAGCUUGUUGGUGGGGUAGUGGCUUACCAAGGCUUUGACGGGUAGCCGGCAUGAGAGGGUGACAACGACCAUUGGUCAGGAGCAACGGCACAAACUCCAGAGGCAGGGAGCAGUGGGGAAUAUUCAAGUAUGGGACGAAGCCUAAUGUAGCAACGCGGCGUGCCGGAUAACGGCCUUAGGGUUGUAAACUGACUUCGCAUGUGGUGAAGCCGGAGUGAGGGUAAUGGCUAAAGAAGCAAAGGCUAACUACGUG